rnacentral:lncRNA from 1 species
CUGGAUGGAGGGCAAGGAGACCUCGGGGACAAGCCAGGGCCCCGGGAGAGCCGACAGAGCAGGGCUAGGGGCCUGGAGUAAUUUGCGGGACCACAGACGGAGGCAGAGUCCUCCCCCCACAGUGGAGUGGACAGACCAAUGGGGCACCAUGGACAGGUGGCAGGAAAGGCCACCCCUCCUCAGCCCUCCCCACCUACGCUGGGCCCUGACGGCACAGCCGUGUGCAGGGCAACGGCGGAGACCCCGCGUGCUGUGUGUGAGCGACUGGGUGGCCGCCUCUCUGGGGCCACUGGCAGCUGCAGGAGGCAGCCUGGGUCCCGGGCCUUGGUGGGCCCCGCGCUCUGCCUCCACCAGCGUGGGAGCAGCCUGGGGCACAAGCGCCAGCUCUUGGGCCUGCUUCCUCGGCCGUGGAGUGGAGAUGACCACCCGUGUCUCCCGGUGAGGCGGGCGCCGAGAGGCAGGCGUCGUGAGGACCCACAGACAGGCUGCCCCAGCCCGUGCCCCCACCCUCCCUGGAGACCCUGGGUGGGUCCCUUGAAGGCAGGGAUGUGCAUUUUCCCCACCGACUCGAGUGGGAGGCCCCGGCACUGGGUCACGCUCUCAAAUUCCUGUCACAUUUCCUCAUUCUGAAAAUUGGUCAAGGGUGGCGUGGCCUGAGAGAGCGGGCGAGGGCCUCGUGUCCACCCUGCCCCACUGCCCAGCUUCAGGCCUGACUCCGCCCAGAACCUGGCUGAUUGGAGAGCAAAUGGUGCCCAAGAAAGAAGGUUCCAGAAUCAGAGAAGACACCCGGGCAGCCCAGCCCAGCUGGGACCUGGACGCUGCUCUCUGGCAGCCCCUGUGGAAGGGCAGGACAUGCACUGUGAGCUCGGGGCAGGCCGGCUCCAGGGACACCACCGUCACCUGCGGGAGGAAAGCUCCCAACACCAUGUCCACAGGAACCUCAGAACGCAACCUUAUUGGACAUAGGGUUUUUGCAGAUGAAAAUGGUCAAGGCAAGAUGAGGUCAUCCUAACUGGGUUGUCCCUGAAUCUGACGUCACCCGGUGCCGAGGGCUGAAGCCAGCCCCAGGGUGUGGGGGUCCCUCCGGCAGCACCAGGACCAGUGUCCUUGUGCUGAGUCCCAGCACCUCUGGUGGCUUCUGGGCCGAUCCUCUCCUCAAGAAGCCAAGAGGGGCCCAUCCCAAUUCCAGGAGGGGACUGAACGGAGCAGAGAGAAGCCACAUUGGGGCCUCCAAGGUUCAAGUCCGUUUAGGCUGUUCCUGAGGCCGGCAGGGCCGUUACCUCACACGCAGGCCGAGCGGCCCCCAGCGAGGUGUGCGGGGUGCAAGUGCUCUCAUCUUCUCUCCCAUAAUGCACGUGGCCCUGGGCAGGGUGGGCACGCAGAAGGCUCUGGCCCCUGCUUCAGUCAGCCCAGGAAGAAGGUGGCCAGGCUCAGCACACAAGGCCUCCGGGCCUUGAAAGGGACCCAGACGGCACCAGCGCCAGCGCCCACCUGCCCUGAAGCCGGGAGCUCGCACAUGGCGAGGUGGCUGCCCUGGCCAGGCGCCUCGCUCACGUCAGCCGUGAGUCCAGGCCGCGCCCUCAGCCUCAGAAGUCCCCGAUGCCCCCAGUGCCCCCGACUCCCAGCUCCGAGAGGGAGGAGGGGUGUCCUGCUCAGGACAGAGAGAGAAACCAAGACGACCAGCCGGGCGGAGCACCUGGGCAUCUCGCAGCCCUGCCCGGCUGGGCAUCGUCACCACCCAGGAUGCCCCUACCUGUGUCCAGGCUCAGUCCAGGCGGCAGGCUGCAGAGACGGGGAAGGACCUGGGACAUUCCCCCACUCAGGGACUUUCCUGCCGAUGUCAUAAUGUGGCAUGGCACCUUUCACGCUGGGCUGCUGCCUGAGAGUGUGGGCCAGCGAGCGUCUGCCGAGGGCGCCUGCUCCCCAGAGGCCCAGUGGUCCGCGUGGCUCCAGGAGGCCACCUCCACACUCCCCCGGGAGGGGGGGAAGUGGCACCACUGCCCCACCACUGAGGGCCACACCAGCUGCAAGGGAGUCUGGGAAACGAGGUCUUUGUUCAGGUAGCCAAGGGCCGGCCGAGCUCUGCUGCUGUUAAGGGAGGACAAACCGAGGGAGGAGCAGGAGCUGUGGCCCCCGCUGGCCCCAGGAGCCAGGAAGAGCUUGAGGGGCCCACCCUGGCACACCCCCCCCACGCUCGCCCCGUGGGCAGCCUCAGACUACAGGGUCCACUCUCAAGCACCUGCCCCAGGUCCGGCAACCUGCAGCUGCGGGACCUCGGGACGGAGCUCAGACGGGCGCAGAGGGCGGAUCGUGUUGCCCCCUGGAGACGCGUGGCCGGGACGGGAGGCUCCAGACCCAGACGCCGGGAGGGUAAGCCUGAAGCCACUGAAUCUCACACGUCCACAUGGUGAUGAUGGCAGGCGUUACAGGACACACACUGAACCACCAUCCUGGUGGACAGGAGGAGGCUCGGCCCCCAGGGCUGUGCAGCGAGGGCAGGGGUCGCAGUGGGCAGCUGGUGGCCGGCAGGAGAGUAGGGAGGGUGGGAAGGCCCAGGGGACAGGAGGCUGCAGCAGAGAAGGGGCAAGUCCAGCCUUGCUGGAUGAGGGCCCAUUUCACAGAUGAGGACACGGGGCUCCAGAGCCUUGGGGUCCCCAAAUACUGGGAGCAGCAGUGGCAGUUUGGCAGAUUCCCAGAUCUCCAUGGUCCUAAGGCCGUCUCCAGGCGUCAGGAGAGCAAGGGUGUGUGUGGGGUCGGGGGUCAGCUCUCUGCAGCGGCUCCUGGCAGCGCUACCAUGGGGCUGGGUAGGGAGGGAAAGGAGCCCGUCAGCACAGAUGCCACAUGCUAGGGCCUCGCCACUCCGGGGCAUUCGCAGACUUGCCCAAUGCAAAUCAGAGCCCAGUCCCCCUCACCUGGGGCGCGGGCCGUCUGGGGCGGCUGUGAGUCUCAGGGCUGGUCACCUGAGCUCGGCAGCG